GUGCUCACUUGGGCAGCACACAUACUGGAACGAUACAGAGAAAAUUAGCAUGGCCCCUACACAAGGAUGACAUGCAAAUUCAUGAAGUGUUCCAUAUUUAA
rnacentral:snRNA from 1 species